GCAUCGAUGCCCGAGCUGGUCUAAGGGGCUGCACUCAAGUUGCAGUGUACUCGUACUCGUGGGUUCGAAUCCCACUCGAUGCA